rnacentral:rRNA from 1 species
UACGAAGGGGGCUAGCGUUGCUCGGAAUCACUGGGCGUAAAGCGCACGUAGGCGGAUUGUUAAGUCAGGGGAAAUCCUGGAGCUCAACUCCAGAACUGCCUUUGAUACUGGCGAUCUUGAGUCCGGGAGAGGUGAGUGGAACUGCGAGUGUAGAGGUGAAAUUCGUAGAUAUUCGCAAGAACACCAGUGGCGAAGGCGGCUCACUGGCCCGGUACUGACGCUGAGGUGCGAAAGCGUGGGGAGCAAACAGG